CCGAAUGCCUAAGGUUUCCUGAGGAAGGCUCGUCCGCUCAGGGUUAGUCAGGACCUAAGCCGAGGCCGACAGGCGUAGGCGAUGGACAACAGGUUGAUAUUCCUGUACCACCUCUUUAUCGUUUGAGCAAUGGAGGGACGCAGAAGGAUAGAAGAAGCGUGCGAUUGGUUGUGCACGUCCAAGCAGUUAGGCUGAUAAGUAGGCAAAUCCGCUUAUCGUGAAGGCUGAGCUGUGAUGGGGAAGCUCCUUAUGGAGCGAAGUCUUUGAUUCCCCGCUGCCAAGAAAAGCUUCUAGCGAGAUAAAAGGUGCCUGUACCGCAAACCGACACAGGUAGGCGAGGAGAGAAUCCUAAGGUGUGCGAGAGAACUCUGGUUAAGGAACUCGGCAAAAUGACCCCGUAACUUCGGGAGAAGGGGUGCUUUCUUAACGGAAAGCCGCAGUGAAUAGGCCCAAGCGACUGUUUAGCAAAAACACAGCUCUCUGCGAAGCCGUAAGGCGAAGUAUAGGGGGUGACACCUGCCCGGUGCUGGAAGGUUAAGGAGAGGGGUUAGCGUAAGCGAAGCUCUGAACUGAAGCCCCAGUAAACGGCGGCCGUAACUAUAACGGUCCUAAGGUAGCGAAAUUCCUUGUCGGGUAAGUUCCGACCCGCACGAAAGGUGUAACGAUUUGGGCACUGUCUCAACCAGAGACUCGGUGAAAUUAUAGUACCUGUGAAGAUGCAGGUUACCCGCGACAGGACGGAAAGACCCCGUGGAGCUUUACUGUAGCCUGAUAUUGAAUUUUGGUACAGUUUGUACAGGAUAGGCGGGAGCCUUUGAAACCGGAGCGCUAGCUUCGGUGGAGGCGCUGGUGGGAUACCGCCCUGACUGUAUUGAAAUUCUAACCUACGGGUCUUAUCGACCCGGGAGACAGUGUCAGGUGGGCAGUUUGACUGGGGCGGUCGCCUCCUAAAGUGUAACGGAGGCGCCCAAAGGUUCCCUCAGAAUGGUUGGAAAUCAUUCGUAGAGUGCAAAGGCAUAAGGGAGCUUGACUGCGAGACCUACAAGUCGAGCAGGGACGAAAGUCGGGCUUAGUGAUCCGGUGGUUCCGCAUGGAAGGGCCAUCGCUCAACGGAUAAAAGCUACCCCGGGGAUAACAGGCUUAUCUCCCCCAAGAGUCCACAUCGACGGGGAGGUUUGGCACCUCGAUGUCGGCUCAUCGCAUCCUGGGGCUGUAGUCGGUCCCAAGGGUUGGGCUGUUCGCCCAUUAAAGCGGUACGCGAGCUGGGUUCAGAACGUCGUGAGACAGUUCGGUCCCUAUCCGUCGUGGGCGUAGGAAAUUUGAGAGGAGCUGUCCUUAGUACGAGAGGACCGGGAUGGACGCACCGCUGGUGUACCAGUUGUUCUGCCAAGGGCAUAGCUGGGUAGCUAUGUGCGGAAGGGAUAAGUGCUGAAAGCAUCUAAGCAUGAAGCCCCCCUCAAGAUGAGAUUUCCCAUAGCGUAAGCUAGUAAGAUCCCUGAAAGAUGAUCAGGUUGAUAGGUUCGAGGUGGAAGCAUGGUGACAUGUGGAGCUGACGAAUACUAAUAGAUCGAGGACUUAACCAU
rnacentral:rRNA from 1 species